GGGGAAUUUUGGACAAUGGGCGCAAGCCUGAUCCAGCAAAGCCGCGUGCAGGAUGAAGGCCUUCGGGUUGUAAACUGCUCUUGUACGGAACGAAAAGCCUCUCUCUAAUACAGGGGGGUGAUGACGGUACCGUAAGAAUAAGCACCGGCUAACUACGUGCCAGCAGCCGCGGUAAUACGUAGGGUGCAAGCGUUAAUCGGAAUUACUGGGCGUAAAGCGUGCGUAGGCGGCUUUUUAAGUCGGAUGUGAAAUCCCCGAGCUUAACUUGGGAAUUGCAUUCGAGACGAGGAAGCUAGAGUAUGGGAGAGGAUGGUAGAAUUCCAGGUGUAGCGGUGAAAUGCGUAGAUAUGCGUAGGAACACCGAUGGCGAAGGCAAUCCCCUGGGCCUGCACUGACGCUCAUGCACGAAAGCGUGGGGAGCAAACA
rnacentral:rRNA from 1 species